GCACCGCUCGAGCCCGCCCCCCCCGGGGGCGGAGGCUCGGUGUUGGGGACUCGCGGGGUCGGGGCUCUCGGGCCCCGCCACCCCCGCGGCCCUAAAAAGCAGUGGCGGCCCUCCACGGCAAGCCCCCAGCGGAGUAGAACAUUACGUCUCGCUCGGGCGCCCUGGAAGGGACGGCCUUGGAACGGGGAAGUUUCCUGGACCCCCCUAAUUCUAUACCCGG
rnacentral:misc_RNA from 1 species